rnacentral:lncRNA from 1 species
AUGACAUUUUUAUUGCAGGUUUUGACCUUUAGGAGAGAGCCAAUUCUGGAGAACAACCUAACUUCUUUGAUUGAACAUUCACAUAAUGCAUUGGAACAUGAUAGGAGAUUAAGGUUUAAUGAUAGAAUGAAGACCAUAAUAGAACAGUUCCCCUACGUAGCCCAGCAAUUCUUAUGUUGCCUGUAUUUUGACACUGCCACUAUGUCCCCUCCAAAAGGUGAGAACUGACUAUUCCAUGUGUACCUAGACCAUGUGGAGAAAGGACUGAGACUGGAAGCAGAAAACAGACAUUGUAUAGAGCAGAGUGCCUGACAACGGCUCACUCUAGUAGAGGGCAGUAAUUGGCACAUGAUAUGAUCCUCUCGUCACAGAAUUGUAAGUAACUUUGGGGAAGCACAGGGGAAUUAGACUGUUGUCUCUGCUGACUCAGUAAAAAAAAAAAAAAAAAAAAAAGUCUUCAUUUUAUCAUUUGUGGCCUGUAUGCUGUAAAUUAAGAUGUACUGAACUGAGGCGCCUGUUUGGCUCAGUUGGUUAAGCGUCUGCUUUUGGCUCAGGUCUUGAUCCCGGGUCCUGGGAUGGAGCUGAGCCAUCCUGAGCUGGGAGCCUGCUUCUCCCUCUCCCUCAGCUGCUCCCCCUGCUUGAGCUCUCUCUCUCAAAUAAACAAAAUCUUUUUUUUUUUUAAUUUUUUAAUUUAUUUACGAUAGUCACAGAGAGAGAGGCAGAGACACAGG